GAGGUUUUAUUAAAGUGGUUUAGUGAGGAAUUUGUUGGUACACUUUAAACAAUUUAAUACUUGUUGUGGAUUAAGUAAAGGAUUAAAUAUCUAAAAAUGAAUUUGUCAAGUAGGCAAUGUUAAUUUACCUUGUUUUUUAAUUAAAUGUAGAAGGUAGGUUCCAGAAUAAUCGGUUAAACUUGCCAUUUGUAUAAUCUAAUUGAUGAGGUUAAAGUCUAAAAGUAGUAAUUUGUGAAUUAGUAGGUGGAAUAAACAGAUUUUAUAAGUUUAUACAGGCUUUUAUCAAAAUACUGGUAAACUAAUCGGGUUAGACACCGAGUAGUCAGAAUUAAAUAGUGCAGGAGUAGAGUAGAUAGGAAACUGAAGGUACUUUGGCAGGUGUUCAAUUUUUCUUCGGGGGCUGGUUGGUAAGCGAAAUUCCACGUUAGUAGCUAGUACUUUAGGCCCAUGUAUGAUCGUUUAUAUUAAUUUUAAGAAUUAAUAGGCAGCUCUCUAUUAAGAGAUAAUAACAGAUAUAUAUGUGGUUAAUGUAGUUGUGUUUUCUGGGCCACAUUAAAGUAAAAAUUUAGAUCAAGAAGUUACAAAUUUUGUGAAAUUGUAGAAGAAAGUAAAAGUAUCUUUAUAGUUAUUUUGAAUUUUAUUUGAAUGCGGUACAAAUCAUCCAUCAAUUGUCCUUAGGAGAGUAAGUUGUAGUAGAGUAGGGUUAGAGGAAUUUGAUCCUAGAGUCAU
rnacentral:ncRNA from 1 species